GGCUUCUGGAGAAACCAAACCUGCUGACCCCUUGAUCUUGGACUCUAGCCCCCAGAACUAGGAUAAUAUUAAUAUCCCAAGUGUCCAGAGGGAGAAGGUUAACACACCAGUACGGAAAUGAGCUGGAUGCUGACUGAUGUACAAAAAUAUCAAAGCUUCUUUUAAGAUUUUCAACAGACAACAUAAUCUCUUAUGGCUGGCACCCAGAGCGUAUCAUUUGCAUCCCUUUCCUGACAUACUACUGAUAGCUUGGCACAGUUGAUGUCUGAAGAGAUACUGAGGCUAAAGAAACCAGGAUCCAAACAGAAAGCGGUUUACUCUGGUGUAUACCAUAUGGUGAUUGGUGGUGGAGCUGAGACUGUGGAUGUGUAUAAUCUUGCUUCAUCUCUAGGGACAGAUGAGAGGAAGCAGGUAUAGUCAAAUCCUAAUUGGAAUGUCAUCCAGUUAAUUGCGAUGUGGGUGACUUGGUUUAGAAUCAUGGGGGAUCACUGUUAAAAAUCCAUAUUUCUGAGCCUAAGGAAGAUGCUGAGUCACCAUCCCCAGAAACAGUGCCGAGAAUCUGUGCUACAGAAACUACCUCAGGUGAUUUUAUGUAUACCUAAGUUUGAGAACUGGAAAGGAGGGUGCAGUUAGGCCUUGGAGCUUAAAAGUUCUAGAUUUGAGGCAGAGCUAUUCUAUUAAGCUAUCUGCCAGUGAGCUUCAGUGUUCUUGUAAUUAA